GACGAACGCUGGCGGCGUGCCUAACACAUGCAAGUCGAGCGAGUGGAGUUCUUCGGAACAAAGCUAGCGGCGGACGGGUGAGUAACACGUGGGCAACCUGCCUCAUAGAGGGGAAUAGCCUCCCGAAAGGGAGAUUAAUACCGCAUAAGAUUGUAGCUUCGCAUGAAGUAGCAAUUAAAGGAGCAAUCCGCUAUGAGAUGGGCCCGCGGCGCAUUAGCUAGUUGGUGAGGUAACGGCUCACCAAGGCGACGAUGCGUAGCCGACCUGAGAGGGUGAUCGGCCACAUUGGGACUGAGACACGGCCCAGACUCCUACGGGAGGCAGCAGUGGGGAAUAUUGCACAAUGGGGGAAACCCUGAUGCAGCAACGCCGCGUGAGUGAUGACGGCCUUCGGGUUGUAAAGCUCUGUCUUCAGGGACGAUAAUGACGGUACCUGAGGAGGAAGCCACGGCUAACUACGUG
rnacentral:rRNA from 1 species